rnacentral:rRNA from 1 species
UACGUAGGGGGCGAGCGUUAUCCGGAUUUACUGGGCGUAAAGCGCGUUAAGGCGGUUGGCAAAGUUGGUUGUGAAAUCUCAGGGCUCAACCCUGAAAUUGCGACCAAUACUGGUCGACUAGAGUGUGAGAGAGGAAGGUGGAAUUCCCGGUGUAGUAGUGAAAUGCGUAGAUAUCGGGAGGAACACCGAUGGCGAAGGCAGCUCGCUGGGACGGUACUGACGCUGAGGCGCGAAAGCGUGGGGAGCAAACAGG